rnacentral:lncRNA from 1 species
GGGAGUUCAGUAGAAGGGGGUUCUACUGAGGGAGUUCCGCGAAAGGAAGUUCCGUCGAGGGAGUUCCACUGAGGUAAGUUCCGCAGAAGGGUGUUCCGCCAAGGGAGUUCCAUGAAGGGAGUUCCACCAAGGUAGUUCUGGUGAAGAGAGUUCUGCUAUGGAUGUUCCUUACCGAAGUCGAGUCCCAUGCUCGAGGUUCCUCGUUGCAAUCUGUGACCAAGCGACCAUCACCCAUCGAGGUUCCUCGCAUACGCCAAGUCUCAUUCUUGAGUUUCUUCGUUGCUA